ensembl:lncRNA
UUUUUUUUUUUUUUUUUUUUUUGAGACAGAGUCUCACUCUGUUGCCCAGGCUGGAGUGCAGUGAUGCAGCUUCGGCUCACUGCAACUUCUACCUCCCAGGCUCAAGCGAUUCUCCUGCCUCAGCCUCCUGAGUAGCUGGGAUUACUGGCGCCUGCCACCAUGCCUAGCUAAAUUUUUGUAUUUUUAGUAGAGACAGGGCUUCAUGUUGGCCAAGCUGGUCUCAAACUCCUGACCUCAUGAUCUGCCCACCUUGGUUUCCCAAAGUUCUAGGAUUACAGGCGUGAGCCACUGUGCCCGGUUGCCUUUUGGUUUUACUCAGGUGGACCCUUAAUGGAUUACAUGAUAACUGCUCACACUAGUGUCAGUGGAUCUUUUUUACUCAGUCUGCUGAUUCAAAUGCUAAUCUUCUCUGGGAACACCAGCAUAGACUCACCCAGAAAUAGUGUUUGACCAGCUGUCUGGGCAUCCCUUAACCCAGUCAAGUUGACAUAUAAAAUUAACCAUUACAAGUCUGCCCCUUAGGAACUUGGCAUCCAUAUGUAUCUCCUUAAACCAUAGUUAGUCUCCAAAUAAUAACAAUAACAAGGUCAUAAUUCCACUUAACAUGAUACAACCAUCCUGCAUGCAACAAAAAAUGCAGUAAUCCCUUUUCCAGAAGAGGAAGUAGUCUGUCAGUGAUGUGUAGUCUUCUGAUAUCCUAUACUUAAAAUACUAAGACGUAUUUUAAGUAUUAACAAUACUAGUACUUAGAAUACUAGUAUAAACUCAAUACAUCUUAUGUUACAUGAUAAGGGAUAACAAAGGAAAGAAAACAAAGAUGUUUGUUUAAUAUAUGUAUACAUACACACAUUUUUUAAAAAAAUAGGAAUGAAAUACUCUUGACAAUUAGUAUUCUUUUCUGUAACUGAUGACAUGGUUGUAGCUCAGACUUAUAACUACCAUCUUCAACUACACAUUCUGUAUUCCCUUUGCCUUCAGCAAGAACCUCAGCUGGUCUUGGUUCUUAACCUAGGAAGCCAGGGUUGGUUUGGGGGCGGAGGGGAGGUAAGCCAAACCUUCAUUCCUAAAGGGUCUGGGCCAUUCAUAGUCCUGCCUGGUAUGGGUUGUUGUAGUUUUCCAUUGACUUUAACCAUAGGACACGGUAAUACUGAGACAUUCUAAGGGAUCUCCUGUGUUCCAGACAUAUUCUUUCUUACCUCUUUUAUGUCACAUUUCCCCAUGGUAGUCAUGGUAGUCCCCAGCCAACACCAUAACUCCCCUAUUGGCCUGUUGACUCAGAGGCAUGACGGGAGCCCAAAGUGGUUGGAUGGCAGUCUUAACUUCUAGUUCAAUGGAAUUUAGUUCAAUUGUGUCUCCUGGUGGAAGCAGUCCUCCCUCUGGAUCCAGCAGAGCAUACCUUUGUAGAAACAGGAAGCAAAAUUUUUGUUAGUGGAUCACUAGGGAAUUAGUGUGUGGUGCCCUUCCCAUUUCUACCCCUUGAUUCCUGGACCAUAAAUCCUGACUAUGGGAGAAACAGUACUGUAUGUUGGACAUUCAUUCAGAGCCAUACAGCCUUCUGGAGAACCUUGCCUCUGCCUUGCAAAGUAUUGCCACUUAGCUGGCUCUGUAGGUGAGUCUUCAAAAGACCAUUCC